GGCGGCGGCGUGAACGCGGCUGCAGAGCCCCAGCGAGCCGCGGGAACGGCGAGCGCCGCGCCGCGCCCGCCGCAGCCGCCGGAGCCGGAGCCGGAGCCGGGCGAGGAGCGAGCCCGGCCGCCCGGAGCCGCCGGGGAGAGGCUCGCGGCCGCGGCAGCCCCGCCGGGAGGCAGCGAGGGGCCCCUCGCCGAAAGAGCGAACACCCCCCCACACCCCUCUCCCGCCCCGCCGCCUCCGCCCGCCCCCCAGCGAAGAGAAACAAAACAAAACCUCGGCACCGCCACGCUCUCCCUCCUUCUCCUCUUGGCAUUUGGUGGUUGUUUUUUUAAUUAUUAUUAUUUUUUCUUUUUUUUUUUUUUAAUUUUUUUCUUGGGGAUUCUCCUUUCUCCUGCCAGACUGACUUGCACCUUCUUGAUAAUUUCUCUUCCCCUCGUUUUUUUUAUACUCUUCUCCCUGCUUCCAAACCCUGUGUCUGUGUGUUUCAAUACUAUCACAACCUCUGCUAAAAAUAGAUCUUUUUAUAUACCCUUCCUCCUCUCUGACCCCAUCCAACACCCCUUGUUAAGGAAACCAUCUUACACCCAGAGCAAGAAACAUAAAUUCACUUGGCUGUCCCAUAUCUCUAAGGGACCUGAUGCAUGAGUGGACUAGAGAAAGGAAGGAGAGAAAAAGUCCCAAGACCUACAGAUCAUCUUGCUGGCAGGAGCAUACUCAACACCUUUAGAUAUCUUCAUUGAGACCGCAGAGUGACUGCAAAAACUGACCAACAGCAGCAGUUUUUUAAAUAUCACUGGUCUUCUGACAAGUGGGUCCCUUGGGGCUUAGAAGAUAAGGCACAUUCUCUCUGUGGCAGU